ACGAACGCUGGCGGCGUGCUUAACACAUGCAAGUCGCACGGAAAGGCCCUGCUUUUGUGGGGUGCUCGAGUGGCGAACGGGUGAGUAACACGUGAGUAACCUGCCCUUGACCUUGGGAUAACUUCAGGAAACUGGGGCUAAUACCGGAUAGGAGCUCCUGCUGCAUGGUGGGGGUUGGAAAGUUUCGGCGGUUGGGGAUGGACUCGCGGCUUAUCAGCUUGUUGGUGGGGUAGUGGCUUACCAAGGCUUUGACGGGUAGCCGGCCUGAGAGGGUGACCGGCCACAUUGGGACUGAGAUACGGCCCAGACUCCUACGGGAGGCAGCAGUGGGGAAUAUUGCACAAUGGGCGGAAGCCUGAUGCAGCAACGCCGCGUGCGGGAUGACGGCCUUCGGGUUGUAAACCGCUUUCGCCUGUGACGAAGCGUGAGUGACGGUAAUGGGUAAAGAAGCACCGGCUAACUACGUG
rnacentral:rRNA from 1 species